UGCUGCAGAAAGGGAUAUGGGAGUUCAGGUUGUAGGCAAGUUGAAUGUGAAUCAGCAGUAUGCCCUGGAGCCAAAAGGGCCAAUGGUACCCUGGAACGUAUCAGGUCCAGCACUGCUAUCAGACAAGGGAAGGGGAUGUCUCAUCUAUACUGUGCUGUGUGACCUCAUCUUGAGCAAGGAGUGCAGUUUGAGUGCCACAGUGAUUGCUGGACUGAUGCUGCAGUAGACAUCAGGAGGCUGACAUGCAAAUCUUUAUCUUGGCUCCAUUAACUGGAAUGAUGAGAGACACUGCCACCCAGAGCCAGAUGGGGUGUCCAGUGGUAUCUGGGAAGUCUUCCUCUGGGCUGGCAGGUAUGGAAGACCUGGAAUUCUUCUCAAGUGCUUCUCAGUGACCAGAUGGGAUACCCUUAUGCUUCUGAAUUGACAUCAAUCAACUGAGUAUGGGUAAUUAAAUGGUUUUCUGGAUCUUUAUUGUACCAGGGACUCAGAGAACUUGAGCACAUGCACACACUUUAUGUGUGCCAGAAUUCAGGAACACAACUCUGUCUGUCAAGCAGGGGGAGACAUUAUUUCAAUUGCCUUGAGGCCCAGUUUAGGCCACAGAUUUGAGUGACAGAUUCUGAGAGAAAAACCUGUGAGUCUAUAUGGGAGCUACACUGCUUUAUGCAAACAAUUGCAUACUUACAUACGAUGAGAAGGAUGAGAAGUGAUGGACUCUGCGAUCCACCAGAUGUGACAUGCCCUUAUAGGAUGUGGGAAAGUAUAUUUCAGUCCUUGGCUCUAAUCAAUUCAUUAAAAAUGACUCAAGUUGGUAGAGUUUAUUUUAAAUACAAGUAGAAACAGUGUGGUGGGAAUGCAGAAGUGAACUGGUGUUUUUGAUGAGUUGAAGACAUAUCAAAAUACAGGCUGACUGAGUAAUAAGACAGAUCUGUCCAUAAAAUAUUGAUUGAUAGAUUAAUUGGUGUGUUAUGAGCAGAACCAUUGAUGUAAGUUCUCUCUUUUGGAACUAUUCCUUUUUUUCCUUUCUGCCAACAUACUGUCUCAUCUAAUUAUAUCUAGUGCAGAGUUGCUGCAUGCAAUUUAUCUACUUUAAUGCUCCACUUUUCUUUUUAUACUUUCUUCCAGAUAGAUUAUAGUGUAAUAUUUCUGAAUUGGGGAAUUUGAAAAACCUGAUUCUGAUCACAGUGCUUGACGGGUAAAUUUAGAGCAUCGUCAUUUGUAUUCCUGUUGUUACCUUGGAUUUCUUUUGUGAAACUACAUUGCUUUUGUUUUGUUUUUUUAAUUAUAAAAAAGGAAGUCUAUUUGUUCAUUAUUGUAUGUUAAAUGAGAGUCAAUUUUUUCAUAAAAGAAGAAAAACCUUGGUAUCUUGUUCCCCAUACUGCCCCUCCACCUCCAUGAAGGUGUUACUGUACAAUUUUUUUUUAGAAACUGGCUUGGAAUCUUUGUUGCUUGUAUUAUGCAUUGUUUCUAUGGAGGCACAGCACUGCUGCAGUAUCUUGUAUAAAAGGGAAAGGGAAUAUAUUGAUACAUAAGUCAGAUUGCAUCCGCUUGUAUAAAGGAAUUCUACACAAUGAGAUUGACCUGCUUUUGUAUCCUUUUUAUCUGAGCAGUACUAUGGCACCACCUUCUCCGUAAGAUAAUAAAAGACUCAGCG
ensembl:lncRNA